rnacentral:rRNA from 1 species
GAUGAACGCUGGCGGCGUGCCUAAUACAUGCAAGUAGAACGCUGAAGGAAGGAGCUUGCUCUUUCCGGAUGAGUUGCGCACGGGUGAGUAACGCGUAGGUAACCUGCCUGGUAGCGGGGGAUAACUAUUGGAAACGAUAGCUAAUACCGCAUAACAGUAGAUGUUGCAUGAUAUCUACUUAAAAGGUGCAAUUGCACCACUACCAGAUGGACCUGCGUUGUAUUAGCUAGUUGGUGAGGUAACGGCUCACCAAGGCGACGAUACAUAGCCGACCUGAGAGGGUGAUCGGCCACACUGGGACGGAGACACGGCCCAGACUCCUACGGGAGGCAGCAGUAGGGAAUCUUCGGCAAUGGACGGAAGUCUGACCGAGCAACGCCGCGUGAGUGAAGAAGGUUGUCGGAUCGUAAAGCUCUGUUGUAAGAGAAGAACGAGUGUGAGAGUGGAAAGUUCACACUGUGACGGUAUCUUACCAGAAAGGGACGGCUAACUACGUG